rnacentral:rRNA from 1 species
UACGGAGGGUGCAAGCGUUAUCCGGAUUCACUGGGUUUAAAGGGCGCGUAGGAGGGUUGGUAAGUCAGUGGUGAAAUCCCCGAGCUUAACUUGGGAACUGCCAUUGAUACUAUCAGUCUUGAAUAUUGUGGAGGUUAGCGGAAUAUGUCAUGUAGCGGUGAAAUGCUUAGAUAUGACAUAGAACACCAAUUGCGAAGGCAGCUGGCUACGCAUAUAUUGACACUGAGGCACGAAAGCGUGGGGAUCAAACAGG